AUGGCAGGGGGAACCGCCCUUCCACGGAGGUGGAAGGGUCGGUAGCCAACCCGGGAAGAACCAGCAGCAAACCCGGGAAGGGCCGAGCAGACAAAAGAACAGCGCAGGGUCCUGUGUCGUUCCUCCACAAAGAGGGGGAGCGACACAUAUGUCUACUUUUAUGGAUGUACUUUGUGGUCUUGUUUAUUAUAGUUUUGUAAUAUAAUUUGAAAUCAGUUAUUGUAAAGCCUCCAGCUUUGUUCCUCCAGUAGACUGCUUUGGCUGUUUGGUAUCUUUUGUUGCUCCACAUGUAUUUCAGGAUUUUUGCUCUCCUUGUGAAAAAUAUCAUUGUUUUUUGAUAAGCAUUGCAUAAAUCUGAAGAUUAUUUUGAGUAGUAUGCGCAUUUUGACUAUAUUGAUUCAUCCAGUUAAUGAACAUGGGAUAUCUUUUCAUUUUUUGUUAGAUACAAUUAAUUUAAUUUUAUUUUAUUUAACUUUAAUUUCUUUCAUUAGUGUUUUAGUUUUCAACAUACAUGUCUUUUAAUUCAUUGGCUAAAAUUACACUUAAGUAUUUUGCUCUUCUUUGCAAAGAGAUUUAUUUAUUCAUUUGAGAGGCAGAGCAACAGAGUGAGAGGUAGACACACACACACACACACACACACAGAGUGAGAGAGAGAGAGAGAGAGAAUCUUUCAUACGCCAGUUCACUACCAAAUGGCUGCAACAGACAGGGAUAGUCAGGCUGAUACCAGGAUCCAGGAACUCCAUCCUGGUCUCACACAUUGGUGGCAGGGGCCCAAGUCCUUGGCCCAUCAUCUGCUGCCUUCCAGUCACAUUAACAGGAGGCUAGAUUAGAGGGAAAGCCGGAAGUGGCAUUGGGGCACCAUGGGCUAAGCUGCAGCUUUAAAUACUAGCAUCCCAUGCGGGUGCAGGUUCAAAUCCCAGCUGUUCCACUUCCAAUCUAGCUCCCCACUGAUGCACCUGGGAAAGAAAUGGAAGAUGGCCCAAGUUCUUUGGCCCUACACCCAUGGAGGAGAGCCAGAAUGAGCUCCUGGCUCCUGGUUUCAAUCUGGUCCAGCCCUCACCUUUGCAGGCAUUUGGGGAAUGAACCAGCAAAUGGAAGAUCUCUCUCUUUCUGUCUCUCUGUCUCUCCCUCUAUCUGUCUGAAACUCUGUAUUUCAACUAAAUAAAAUAAUUUAAAAAAAAAGAAGCAGAACACCUAGGACUCCAUUCAGGAACUUCUGUAUGUGAUGUUGGCAUUGCAAGUGAUGGCUUUACCUGCUAUGCCACAGCAUCAACUCCUACAUUAUUCUUUUGUAUGCCAUUGUAAAUGUUAUUAUUUUCUUAACUUAUUUUUCAGUUUGUUAUUAAUGUAUAAAAAUAUAAAUGACUUUUCAGUGUUGAUUUUGUAUCCUACAGCUAUACUGAACUUGUUUAUAAAUUCUAAUAUGUUUUCAAUGUCCUUAAGAUUUUCUAUACAUGAGAUUGUGAUAUUAGAACACAGAGGCAAUUUUAUUGUACAUAUGGAAAAGAAGUUAUUUGAGCUAUAUCAGGAAAAUAUAAAGCUACCAAGAUGCAGAAAGGAUAAACAGUUGGACAGGCAUGCCAAAUAUUGUAAGAUUAUCAAUUUUCUCAGAAUUAGUCUAUUAAUGGAAUAUAGUCCCAAUUAACCCCAGGCUUAUUGCGGCUCAAUUCACAAUAGCUAAGAUAUGGAAUCAACCCAAAUGUCUAUCAGCUGAAUUCUAGAUAAAGAAAUUAUGGGAUAUGUACACCAUGGGACGCUACACAGCAAUAAAAAAAUGAAAUCCUGUUGUUUGCAGCAGACUAAUGAAACUGAAAAACAUUAUACGUAGUGAAAUAAGCCAGUCCCAAAAGGACAAAUACUAUAAAGUUCUCACUGAUCUAUAGUAACUAAUAGAGCUCCUAAAAGGUAAAAAAAAAAAAAAAUCCCAAUAAGUUACACUUUAUUCAAAAUGUUUAAAUAUCCUAAUUAUGCUUUAAAAUUUCAAAACAUAAAUUCAUGAACACAGUAGAAUAGAAAUUCAGGUAUAUUAGGGAUUAUUAAAAGGGGAAAAGUACUGAUUCAUAACCACCUCUAUCAAAUGCUUGAUAUCACUUAGAGUGACAGAAGUUACAACAGUAAGUUGCCAGCACAGACAAGGACAAGCGAGUCAAAUCAUUUGCUGAAUAAUUUGUUAUGAGUAUGCAGGAAUUGUUUCCCCAAAGUUCAUGCAGCUAUUUACACAGUGAUGUCUUAAUGGUUAUGGAUUAGGGGUAGAGAUUGAUCUAAUUGUGGUGGGUGGGAGGUAGUGCUAAUGGGAGCUCUUUGGGUCCUUGGGGGAGUCUCCUUCAAGGGUGGGUCUCAAGAAAGUUUUGAUCAUUUGAGUUCAGGUUCUGCAUAACUGUUGUGUCUCCCCUUUCAUUGUGGUCAUGCUUCCACACCCAUGAGCAACCUCCAUUCAUGAUGAACUGCGGGACAACUGGAUCCUGUCACCUCCAGCUGUGAGCUGAAAGAAACCUUUUCUUUCCCAAAGAAGCUCCUCUCAGCUUCAGAGGCCAGUAGCAGGAUUUGUGUCUCAGUAGACUGCAAUAUGUUAUAGAUUUGGGAUGAGUUGACCCUAUGCAACUAUGACUUAUCCAUGCUCAUCAGUGGAGGAGGUGUGACCAUCCAGCCACAUAAAAGGGAUUAUGGUGUCCAACAGAUAGAGGAGGCAGAAUUAGUGGAACAAAGACAGAAAGAAAGGUCUUUCUUCUGUUGGGUCACCCCCCAAAAGGCCACCACGGCUGGUGCACUGUGCCAAUCCGAAGCCAGGAGCCAGGUGCUUCCUCCUGGUCUCCCAUGCGGGUGCAGGGCCCAAACACUUGGGCCAUCCUCCACUG